UGGUGGGUAGUUUGACUGGGGCGGUCUCCUCCUAAAGAGUAACGGAGGAGCACGAAGGUUGGCUAAUCCUGGUCGGACAUCAGGAGGUUAGUGCAAUGGCAUAAGCCAGCUUGACUGCGAGCGUGACGGCGCGAGCAGGUGCGAAAGCAGGUCAUAGUGAUCCGGUGGUUCUGAAUGGAAGGGCCAUCGCUCAACGGAUAAAAGGUACUCCGGGGAUAACAGGCUGAUACCGCCCAAGAGUUCAUAUCGACGGCGGUGUUUGGCACCUCGAUGUCGGCUCAUCACAUCCUGGGGCUGAAGUAGGUCCCAAGGGUAUGGCUGUUCGCCAUUUAAAGUGGUACGCGAGCUGGGUUUAGAACGUCGUGAGACAGUUCGGUCCCUAUCUGCCGUGGGCGCUGGAGAAUUGAGGGGGGCUGCUCCUAGUACGAG
rnacentral:rRNA from 1 species